rnacentral:misc_RNA from 1 species
AGACUUUAGUUGAACGAUGGCCGCGGCCGGCAACGUUUGUGCCGGUCUCAUGCGACACAAACAUAUUUUAUUACGCGAACUUACCGAUACGAACAUUUUAGACGUUUUAGUGAAAAAGGGAAUAUUCAGUGUGGCCGAUUUAGAGUUGAUUACUAGUGCGGCUGAUAGUGAGAAGUGCAAUUAUUUUGUCGAUGUUGUUAGUAAACAGAGCGGUUCUAAGUUGAACGAUUUGUGUGUUGUGUUGAAUAAUGAAUGUCCGAAACUUACGAAGGAGCUAAUGAACGAUAGACACAGAUUUAUCGUUAACGGUUAUAGCACCGACUGCAUGAAGGACAACAUGGUGAUAAGUCAGAAUUUACACAGAGAAUCUCCCCGGUCGCGACGCUCCGUAUCACAAUGCUCGUGCAACAGCAUGUCCCGAAGGUCCUCAGCGGCGGCGUCUCCGAUGCCGAUGCAGCUGCCGCCACUCAACAACACCGUCGAGAUGUACGUCGAGCCGGUUGUCGAGGAUACCGCUGAGCGCAACGCCGGCUGGGAAACUCAUCGUGUGCGGCUGAACCGCGUUCAGGGCUACGGGUUCGGGAUCGCAGUUUCGGGGGGAAGGGAUAACCCCCACUUCGCGAACGGAGACCCCUCUAUCGCCGUCUCCGAUGUACUCCGAGGAGGCCCUGCUGAGGAUAAAUUGCAGGUGAACGACAGGAUAGUGUCAGUGAACGGUAUCCCCCUGGAGAACGUAGAGUAUGCCCGCGCGGUGCAGGUGCUGCGCGACUCGGGCGCGACGGUGUCGCUGGUGGUGCGGAGGCGCGCGCCGGCGCCGCCGCCCACAGCCCCCACCACCAUCAAACUCGCGCUUACCAGGAAUGGGAAGAAAGAAGAUUUUGGCAUCGUCCUAGGCUGCAAACUGUACGUCAAGGAACUAACGAUGCGAGCGAGGGAACAGCUGAACCAGGCCGGCCAGGGUCUAUGCGAAGGAGACGUCGUCACGAGGAUCAAUAACACAUCCGUCACAGACGCCAUGACCCUCAAAGAGGCCAGGAAACUGGUGGAGUCCUGCAAGGACAGACUUAACCUCGUGGUCACUAGAGAGCUGAUCAGGGAAGAGACAGUCACUAAUGGAAAUUACCAGAACAAUUAUAGUAGUUUAGACGCACCAUCGCACAACGUGUACCCAGGCACGGAGCCUCUAUCGUCGGCGUACUCGAGCAGCGGCCAGAACUUGUACGUGGCGGCGCCGGUCAGGGGCGGCGCGGGGGACGCGCGGCGGGGGCCCAUGUCGCACGAGGUCGAACAGCCGCCCCGACCCCCGCCGCCUAGGAAUGAAGAUUACUACAGUAGUAGAAGACAGUUAUACGAAGAAGAUGUAAUGAAUAACCAAAUGAAUCAAAUGAAUCAAAGGAAUAAACCACCAAGCGAACCGCGGCUAAUAAGUUUCCAAAAGGAAGGGUCGGUGGGACUCCGGUUGUGCGGCGGGAACAGGUCCGGCGUGUUCGUGUCGGGGGUCCAGCCCACCAGCCCGGCGGCGCUGCAGGGCCUGCAGCCCGCUGACAAAAUACUCAAGGUAAACGACAUGGAGAUGAAAGGCGUGACUCGCGAGGAGGCGGUGCUGUUUUUACUGAGCCUGCAGGAGCGGAUCGACCUCAUCGUACAACACUCGCCGGACGAAUACAACGCGGUGGCCAGCGGGCAGAUGCCGGGUGAUUCGUUCCACAUAAAGACGCAUUUCCACUACACGGAGCCGACGGACGGCGAGAUGUCGUUCCGCUGCGGCGACGUGUUCCACGUGGUGGACACGCUCCACAACGGCACCGUCGGCGCCUGGCAGGUUUACAGGAUAGGUCGCAACAACCAAGAGGUCCAGAAAGGAACAAUACCAAACAAGGCGCGGGCGGAGGAGCUCGCCACCGCGCAGUUCAACGCCACCAAGAAGGAGAUGUCCGGCAACGACGGCAAGCACAACUUCUUCAGGCGCCGCCGCUCCACGCACAGGCGCAGCAAGAGUCUCGGGAAGGAGCACUGGGACGAGGUGGUGCUGUCGGACAGCAUCAGCAAGUUCCCCGCGUACGAGCGCGUGGUGCUGACGCAGCCGGGGUUCGUGCGGCCGCUCAUCGUGCUCGGCGCCGUGGCCGACCUGGCGCGCGACCGCCUGCUCAGCGACAGCCCCGACAAGUUCGCCUCGCCCAAGAUGGAUAGCACACUAGAAGACAGCAAGACGAAGUCCACAGGGAUCAUCCGCCUGUCCAGCAUCCGCACGAUCAUGGAGCGAGGGAAGCACGCGCUGCUCGACAUCACACCCAACGCGGUGGACAGACUCAACUACGCACAGUUCUACCCUAUAGUGAUAUUCCUCAAAGCGGAUAACAAGCAUAUCAUCAAACAGUUGAGAGCUGGGCUACCCAAGUCUGCUCACAAAUCAUCCAAGAAGCUUCUAGAACAAUGCCAACACAUGGAACGUGUUUGGGGUCACGUGUUCACGCACACCAUCACACUGAGCGAAGCCAACCAGAACACGUGGUUCAGCAAGCUGGUAGACCUCAUUCAGAGGACGCAACAGCAACAACUAUGGGUGUCUGAGACCAAGAGGCCUGAGCCGUUGUCGGACGACUUUCUGUUCUCAAUGUCGUCGAGUACGGAGAACCGAUUGUCGUACGCGUCGAGUCCGGAGAGCGACCUGGAAGUGAGCCCACCGCCUGCGCCGAGACUCGUCAAGUCCUCGUCGGACCCGUCGAUAGCCACCACGCAGGACAACAUGGACCGCGACGACGAUAUCAAUCACAUGGCUGACGCUGUACCGCCUCCCUAUACGCAAGGCAGCUACGGCGACAGCAAGUACGGUUUCUCAGCGAACACCAACGGGCCCACUAUGGGCCACAGCCAUGGACAUAUGGGCCCGCCGGGCGACGCGCCACCGUACCAGGCCAAUCCUAUGACGCAUUCGCCACCGCAUUCGCCUUUGUAUGGAACAGUUCCAGAGCUGCCGCCGCGCGGGCCGGUGAGCGGCGCGGGCGGCGCGGGCGGUGCGGGCGGCGCGGGGGGCGCGGUGAGCCGGCCGGCGGGCGGCGUGCUGCUCCCCGCGCCGCCGCCGGGCCGGCCGCCGCACUCGCUACGACAUAACCCCUCGCAAAACACUCGUCCAAGCGCCCAGGAGCGUCUGUUCGGUCCGCCCAAGGACUCCGGCGACGAGGCGACGUACACCGCGCGUCCCACCAGCAUGAUCAUCCCCACGCAGAGCCAGGGCUCGCUCGACAGGCACAGGCAUCCCAACAACCCGCAAAGUUCGUACGACGGCACCUCCUCGUACGAGUACAGCAGCGCGUCCAACAACGGGUCGGCGGUGGGCUCGUGCCGGCUGCCGCCCAACGCGCCCGAUGAUCUCAAAGUCGCGCCGCCUUCUAUAAAAAUGGAACCGCCUCCGCCUCCGAACCCAGCGGUGAUGCAGACACAAAGCCCGCAGAGGAAUUCCAACUCACACGAGCACAACUCCUUGGAUUACAGAGGCCCUGAAAACAAUUACAGGUCGGCCGACAACUACCGCAGCCCGCAGCAGAGCCGGCCGCCGCCCAUGAACGGCAACAGUCCGCACACGCCGAUGCACGCGCGGGGACCCUCGCUGCCCAACGUGCCCACCAACGACCAUGCCAAAUACAGCGGCGGACGCACCAACUCAGCCUCUCAAGCGGACUACGCGCGCGGCGUGCCCGCCGGGGCCGGCGGCGGGGGCGGGGGCCCCACCGGCGGGGGGGCCGUGCCGCCCUACAAGCCCGUGCCGCCGCCCAAGCCCAAGCACUACCGCCCGCCCGACGCCGCACCCAUGCAUCCGAGGAAUGGGAGCCUGGAGCCGUCCCUGGCGCCCCCACAGCGCGGCGGGGGCUUCGGUCCGGCGCCGCACUACUCGCACCAGCACUCGCUCUCACAGCCCGCGCACCGCCCCGCCAACCACAACUACCCGCAGCAGAACAUGUAUGGAGGUCAGAUGCCGCCACAGUCGCCGCCUUACUCGGGCCCGCCGUCCCACCACCGCGCCAUCAACCUGCCACACAACCCACACCUCAUCGAUUUAGCAGGUAGUAGAGAGCAACGCGGCUCCGCAUUUGAACUAUACAGGAAACCACAACACAUGCAUAACUUGAGUUCAUCCGAUGUCAUGAACUCGAGCGUGGAGCGAGACGAGACCUUUUCGCCAAAAACUAAAAAGAAAUUGUCUAAAAAGCCGUCUUUCAUAAAAAAUGCCGUACUCGAUUUGUUCCGUUCGAAAACGAAAGCGUCACAGAAGGUGUCGCGGCAGAAGUCGUUGUGUGAGAGUGAUUUGCAGCACCGACAUCAGCCAAAUCACAUGCCGAUGCUCAGACGAGAGAAGUCUGACCUCAGCGACAUGAGCAUUCACAUGAGGAACCAACAGAUCAGGAACCAAAUGUUGCAACGAAGCAACUCGUCUUCCUGUGAAAAGCCUGUUCUCAAACCGAUCCUCAAACGACAGAGCUCAUUUUGUGACGACAGAAAUGGUUCUAUAUGUACCAUAAGAGAUUAUGACGCCAAACCAGUGAUGAAGAAUUUGAGAAGGCAAAAUUCAAUGUGUGACAUUGAAACUGAACCAAAAGUUACCCCGCUGUUGCGUAGACAGAACUCCCUCAUAGAUUACAGUAGAAGGGGGAUCUAUGGACAGAAUUCCAGCUUUAACAUGAUUACCAAAAUAGACCCUAUUUACCAAAGACAACAACAAAUAAAACAUGAACCAUUCCACCCAACACAACCACUACCUCCCGAACCGGUGUACCAAAGCAAAGAACAUUUAGUUUACGAUCCUAUUCCUAAACCAAGGAGAACGUACACUUCCGUUUACGAUACUUCUAGCGAGAACCCAUACGGUAGCCGCUCUGAAGUUUCAAACCAAAGUUUCGAAAGCCCGUACGGAAAUUCUCAAACUGUUGCCAUGCCACUGAUGGAUCCUCCGUAUGCUACUAAAGCUGAAUGCAUCAGAGAAAGUCCUUAUGCUUCUAGAAAUGAACUUAUAGCGGAAAAUCCAUAUACUAAUCGACAAGAAAUGGCUCAGCAAUCUGAAUCCACGCUCACAGAAUCUCCUUAUUCUAGCAAAGAGCAAAUUUUAAAGUCCAGAAUUAUGUCGGACAGCCCUUAUGCAACUAAAGAAGAAAUGUUACGGCAAAGAUUUUCUGAAUCUCCUUACAACACAAAGGAAGAAAUGCUUAAACAAAGAAUGGAGGGUUCAUUUACUAUGAAGGAACCUACAUAUGGCAAAAGGACAUAUGAACCGCCGCCAAGCACAUCUUGGUCCGAAUGUCCUUAUGCAACAAGACCUGACAGAAGGCUGUAUACGCCCACAAACUUCGCAGGAAGGGCAUCGCCUAUGAGUAAAUGUAUGAGUGAGCCACCUUAUGCUACUAGAACAGAAAUGAUGGCAAGAAUUGAACAGACAGAAUCUCCAUAUGCAACUCGUUCGGAAGUGAAAUCCAGUUGUUCUGACGGCCAGUGCAGCAGUCGUCAUGAAGUAUUAGACGUUCGACAUGACGUACGGCCGGCGUCAGCAGAAUGUACUUAUGUAUCUAAACAAGAGAUCUUGUCUCAAAAAGCUGCUCUCAUAGCCAGCAAAGAGACAUCAUAUAGCAUAAAACUGGAAGAAAAGUUAGAAAUUAUAAAACAGCGAAACCAAGCGAAAAAAGAUAUGAUAUAUCAAACUAGAAAGGAUACUAACGAAAGUGAUGCCGCAAAAAUAAGAGAACCGUUGUACGUAUCAAAAAGAGAAUUGAAAGAAAGCGUGAUAUACGAAUCACACCAAGAGACAAAAGAGGCACCACCAGAGUCACAAGUUAGUAGUCCUAGAAGCAGCCCUUAUGAAUUAAGCGAUGCAAAUCACUUAUCUCGACGAGAGCAGAUAUAUCAAACCAAGGCUGAAGCUGAGAAUGCUUUGAAAACAGACACAUUCCAGGAAAUUGACUUUUCAACGUUGAGAUUAACUGAAUCUAAAACAGAUGCCGAAAAGUCAAUGACUGCUGAAAGCAAUGUUUUGAAAGGGGAAGCAAUAUACGCUCCUAGGUUGCAUGGAAAACCAGAUCAUAUUUCAAAUGCACUAAAAGUGACAUCAUCUCCUAUUCCAUACGAAUCAACAACAUCCAUGGAAACUCAUUAUGCUUCAGAAUGUAGUAUGAAUUUUGAAAACAAACCACAAAGUACACCAUACACAUCACAAGACCUGCAAGAACAAUCGCCAAAAAUGAACAAAACUGUAACGUUUUGCGAGAAAAUAAUUGAAAAGAGUCCAGAAACUAGUGAAGAGAAUUCGCAGAAUAUAACUACGAGUCAGAACGAAACAACGGUAAUAAACAAUCAGACGGCAAUACAGACGACACUAUCAGAAAGCACUGAAUCCAAAACUCAAGAGGUUGAGCCCGAAGGACCUCAUACAACAUGGGGAAUAUUUGAUAGCGAAGGAGGCGUAUUAGAAGAUCGACAAUGGGGCGUAUCUUUGAUAAUACCACCAAAGGCUAUCGCUCCGGGCAUCAAACAAAAGAUCUACUUUACGGUGUCAGAUCCGCGACUGAGCCAGCGUGUGGGGGGACCUCCCAUCGAUAUGGAUAACGUUUCUGCCACACAAUACACUCGUACUUAGAGAUUGAGGAGAGAAGACGUCAGCGAUGUUACCUACAUCUAACCAAGUGAUUCGUGAAGCGAUGCUAUCCCCACUGGUGAUGUGCGGGCCCCAAGGCCUGGUGUUCCUCAGGCCGGUGACCCUUAGACUUCCUCACUGCGCCAACGCCAUACCUUCAUUAGGACUAACCAUCAAAGCAACAGACACAGAAG